AUGGACAUAAUUGGAUGGUCACAUGAAUGCAUGGCAGGGCUGGAUGCUGUCCUGCCCUGCCCUGGUUGCCCACAAGGCCAGGCCAGGCGACCUCGGAGAGCUCCCAAGGAACAAGUUGACUCAACCAGUGUUCCCUCUAACAGGGAUUCCAAGAUGUUGUUGACUACAACUCCCAGAGUCCUCAGCCAAAGGCCACUGCAGCUGGCGAUGCUGGGAGUUAUAGUCAACAAGAUCUGGGAAUCCCUGUUAGAAGGAACAGUGGACUCAACAUCAGUCAGAGGCAAACUGUGCCCUUAGGUACUUCUGAGAUCAGACUACUGCUCCUGGACUCUGCUUUCCCACCUGGAGAGUGGAAGCCUGUAAAAAAGCAGCCUUCUGGAGUACGGCACUCCUCUUCUGCUCUAGCUGCUCCUCCUGAGGUGGCUGUUGGCAAUGGAGAUAGACGCUGGUGUAUCAAAACAAAGCCUGAAGCAUGGGUUCAUUUGUUCCCAGCAUGUGUCAUAGUAAACUGAAACUAAUUGACUUGGAAGUAAGUCCCGUUGAGUUCAAGAGAUCUGACUUCUGAGGAAUGUUUUGGGGAUUGCAACCUUCGACUUGACUUGUGAAGUCACUUCAGUUCAGGGAUCUCGCAUGGUAGAAAACCUGUAGAGAUGGUGGUUGUCCCACAUAUGAAGACCAACAUGUGAAGAAUGUUCUGCUGAGUCACUUACAGAAGUCAAUAUGAUGUAUUUCCAAGUAAAACUGCACAUUUACUUAAGAGGAAGCCCCAAUGAACUCUUCUUUAUUUCUUUAUUUGGGGUUGUGUUUUUAAUGAAAGGCGGUAUAGAAAUGUAAAAAUAAAUAAAAUUAAAAUAAAAUAAAUUUAUUUA